CCUACGGGAGGCAGCAGUGAGGAAUAUUGGUCAAUGGACGCAAGUCUGAACCAGCCAUGCCGCGUGCAGGAAGACGGCGCUAUGAGUUGUAAACUGCUGUUGUAAGAGGGGAAAUCCCGAUACGUGUAUCGUUUUGUAAGUAUCUUACGAAUAAGGCUCGGCUAACUCCGUGCCAGCAGCCGCGGUAAUACGGAGGAUUCAAGCGUUAUCCGGAUUUAUUGGGUUUAAAGGGUGCGUAGGCGGUUCGAUAAGUUAGAGGUGAAAUCCCGGGGCUCAACUCCGGCACUUCCUCUGAUACUGUCGGGCUAGAGGUUAGUUGCGGUAGGCGUAAUGUCUGGUGUAGCCGUGAUAUGCUUAGAGUUCAUCCAGCACACCGAUUGCGAAGGCAGCUUACCAAGCUACUUCUGACGUUGAGGCACGAAAGCGUGGGGAGCAAACAGGAUUAGAUACCCCUGUAGUC
rnacentral:rRNA from 1 species